CACCUCUCAGGGUCCCACCUGGAGAGUUUCCAGGACUCUACCAGUCUCGACUAUGAGAGGGAGAGUCAAGCAGUGGCAUAUCCAUUCCAUUCCUAGCUUGGGCAGUGGCCAGCAAGUGGAAGGCAAUCUGCUACAAUU
rnacentral:snoRNA from 1 species